rnacentral:tRNA from 2 species
UUGUCCUUCGCGAGUUCGUACGUCCGGUCCUUGUCGGGGACCGUGGUGUCGCCGCCGGGGGCCACCAGCGCGAGCCGGACGCGCCGGGCGAAC